AUUCUGACUGCUGACACAAACCUCCCUUUGACAACUGAAAAGGCAGAAGACUUGAUUCUUUUGGCUCCUGUUUAUCUGGAAAAGGCUCUUCACUCAUUUUGGUUCAGACGUUCCAGCUCCAGGUGCAGCUUUUCAGCCACUGAAAAUAUUAUUUUGGUUGUCAUUGCAUCAAUACUUGGACCACUGCAACUAAACCAGUUAACAGUUUUGCGUUAAGGACAAAAAGCAAAUAAUUAUGAAGA